rnacentral:rRNA from 1 species
UACAGAGGGUGCGAGCGUUGUCCGGAAUCACUGGGCGUAAAGGGUGCGUAGGCGGUUUGGUAAGUCUUAUGUGAAAUCUACAGGCUCAACUUGUAGUCUGCAUGAGAAACUGCCGGGCUUGAGUAUGGGAGAGGUGAGUGGAAUUCCUGGUGUAGCGGUGAAAUGCGUAGAUAUUGGGAGGAACACCAGUGGCGAAGGCGGCUCACUGGACCGGAACUGACGCUGAGGCGCGAAAGCGUGGGGAGCAAACGGG